rnacentral:rRNA from 1 species
CUAAAUUGUUGUUUAUUAGUUUUUAAUAAAAACUUUAUAUUUGAAAUCUUUGUUAUUUUUAUUUGUUGAUCUAUUAAUUUCUUGAAGUCAAUAAUUUUCUUAGUUUAAUGAAAUUUUUUUUAGAGAGUUUUUUUAAAAAAUAAUAAAUUUGGUGCCAGCAUUUGCGGUUAGACUAAGAUUUUUAAAAACAUAUAUUAAGGUAAAUAAUUAAUUGAAUUUUAUUGUGUAUUAUAGGUGAAAUUUUUUUUUUUAUUAAAAAAUUCUUAAUAUUUCAUAAAAAUGAAGUUUUGAACUAGGAUUAGAUACCCUACUACAAUCAAAUUUAUUUCCUUAAAAGAUUAUAUAUAAAAUUUGAAAAUUUGGCGGCUUUUUUAUUUAGAGGAACUUGUCUAUUGAAUUGAUAAUCCUCAUUAUUUUGUUUUUGAAUUUAAUUUUGUAUACCAUCAUUUAAAUAAUUUUUAAAUAAUAAAUUAUUAUGAGGUUUUAGAAGAAUUUAGAUCCAGGUGCAGAUAUAUUUAAAAUUAGAUUAGUUACAAUAAUUAAUUAUACAAUAAUAAGUUAAUUUUUAGUGAAAGGCGGAUUUAAAUGUAAUAUAUUAAUAUAUAUGAAAUGAUAAAUUUAGUGUACAAAUUGCCCGUCACUCUCUUUGAGAUAAGUCGAAACAAAGUAGAAACACCUGAAGGUGUUUCU